rnacentral:lncRNA from 1 species
CUGUGGCCUCAAGGCAGUAAGAGGAGCAGAUCUGACCUUUUCCCGUCAUCGCUGUAACCGACACCAAGUGAGAGAAGAGGUGGCUUCUGGACCAGGGCCGAGUCUGUUUGGAUGAAGCUCCAUUUGAACGAUGCCACUGACACUCUUAAAAUCGCACCCCGAAGGGUGUCCAUCACCUGCAGUUUGGAUCAGGUGAAAGGCAGGCGACCCACCCAGGAGACGACUCUCUACUUGGCACCACACAAAGGUCAGGAAGGGCUUGGUGGGCUCCCGUGCACAGGCACAGAGAGGACUGGCAAGGUGGCGGCUGAGCUGAAACCAACAAGGAGCUUUCUUGGAAAUAAAAUGCGCAGUAUUUAACUCGUGUU